CAUCACUACGCUAGAUGCAUAUCAAUAAGCGGAGGAAAAGAAACUAAUCAAGGAUUCCCCUAGUAACGGCGAGUGAAGCGGGAAGAGCUCAAAUUUGAAAUCUUAAAGGGUUUCCCUUUACGAAUUGUAGUUUAAAGAAGUGUUUUCUGUUGGAGUUUUCGGUAAAAGUUCUUUGGAAUAGGACAUCAUAGAGGGUGAGAAUCCCGUAUUUGACCAUUACUUUCCAGCUGUGUGAUACACUUUCAAAGAGUCGGAUUGUUUGGGAAUGCAGUCCAAAAUGGGUGGUAAAUUUCAUCUAAAGCUAAAUACUGGCGAGAGACCGAUAGCGAACAAGUACCGUGAGGGAAAGAUGAAAAGAACUUUGAAAAGAGAGUUAAACAGUACGUGAAAUUGUCAAAAGGGAAGCGUUUGACACCAGUGUUGUUUUCUCGAAAAUCAAUUAAAAAUGGUGGGAUUUUGUGUUGUAUUGACUUUAUCAGCUUUCUGCACUUUUUUCCUAUCUUUUUUAAUGCACUUUCCGUUUAACAAGUCAACAUCAAUUUCUUUUGCUGUAAAAGAGUCAUUGGAAGGUGGCUUUCUUUUCGGAGAAAGUGUUUAUAGCCUUUGACUUCUGCAGUCGGAGAGAUUGAGGUCUGCAGCGUAGAUCCUUCGGGGUUAGAUACAUUUGUGCUAAGCUAUAGCCUUUCAUAGACAACUUGUUGACUAUGAUCAGUCAUGUAGCUUACUCGCUUAUGUCAUUUUACCUACGCUUAGGAUGUUGAAGAUAUGCGCGACACG
rnacentral:rRNA from 1 species